rnacentral:tRNA from 1 species
UGGAAUGUGGCUUAGUGGUAGAGUGCUUGCCUAGCAUGCAUGAAGCCUGGGUUCAAUUCCUCAGUACCAC